GCUGUUGGGACUUGUCACUUGUUGCGUCUCAGGUGUUUGCAGACAUUCUUACAAUUGGAGUAUAUAUUUACGCAAGCUCCUUUACCUUUAGGUCAAUUAGUACGUCCAUGGAGAAACCUCUGGAUCCAACACUUUCAUCUUCAUCAAAUCAAGUAUUCUUGAGUUUUAGAGCAGACGACUCUUGCUGCAUGUCUUUCACUGAUCACCUUUACACUGCCUUAGUUCAAGCUGGGUUUCAAACAUUCAAACAGGACACUGACACAAGAAAAGAACAACUCCACAACGCAAUCCGAGAAUCGAAAGUUUCGGUGAUUGUCCUGUCCGAAGGUUAUGCCUUUUCUCAAUCAUGUCUUGAUCAGCUGGAUGUGAUUCUGACAUGUAAGGAGAAAUUGGAUCGGGCAAUUCUACCCGUGUUCUACUAUGUGGAUCCUUCUGAUGUUAGGAAGAAGAAGGGAAGGAUUGGGGAAGCAAUAGCAUCGCAUGAACAAGAAUUGAAAUGGGAAAGCAGUGGAAGGGAAAGGGUAGAAAGAUGGAAGAAGGCACUUGCUAAAGUUGCUGACUUGGGGGGAAUGGUCUUACACAAUCAAGCUCGUGGGCCUGAGUCAAAAUUUAUUCGAAAGAUUGUUAAUGUGGUCACAAAUAGACUAAGUCGAACAGCUUUGUAUGUUGCACCUUACCUAAUCGGCAUUGAUCGCCGGGCUAAGCAUAUUAGCUUUUGGCUGCAAAAUGGAUCGGCUGACGUUGGCAUAUUGAUGGUUUACGGCAUGGGCGGUAUAGGGAAGACGACUCUGGCCAAGUUCAUCUACAAUUCAAACUUUCAUGCUUUUGAAGGUAGCAGCUUUGUGCUUAACAUAAGAGAAAUUUCAAAGCAACCUAACGGUUUAGUUAAAUUGCAAAAGCAAAUACUUUCUGACAUUCUAAAAAGGGCAAAGGAACGAGUAUCAUGCGUUGAUGAAGGAAUUGUUAAGAUUUCAGAUGCCUUAAGUGGCAAAAGAGUCCUACUUGUUCUUGAUGAUGUGGAUGAUUCUGAUCAACUAAAUGCAGUAUUGGGGAUGAAAAGUUUAUUUUACUCAGGAAGUAAAAUCAUCAUAACAACCCGACAUGAGCGAAUUCUAAAUCCUCACCUAGUUGAUAAGGUGUAUACCGUUGAGAAACUGGGCACGGACGAAUCCUUAGAGCUCUUCAGUUGGCAUGCCUUUGGAAAACCACAUCCUGUGGAAGGUUUUCUUGUGGGUUCAAAUGAAGUAGUGAAACGGUGUGGAGGAAUUCCACUUGCACUAAGAGUUUUGGGUUCUUCCCUGGCAGGACAAAAUUUGGAUGUAUGGCAAAGUACAAUAAAGAAGUUGCAAGUUGUUCCUAAUAAUCGGAUUAUUGAACUGCUCAAAAUCAGUUAUGAAUCUCUAGAAGAUGAUGAUAGGAGUUUAUUCCUUCAUAUUGCCUGUUUCUUUCUCUGGGAGGAUAAAGAUUUUGCUGUCAAAAUACUGGAUAAAUGUGAACUUUUCACUAUAGUGGGGAUCCAAAACCUCAUUGAUAGAGAUCUCUUGUCAAUACCAAAUGGUAGGCUCGUCAUGCAUCAACUGAUUCAAGAUCUGGGAAGAGAAAUUGUUCGUCAAGAAUCUGUUAAGGAGCCAGAGAGGCGUAGUAGACUGUGGCGUCAUGAAGAAUCUUUGUACGUAUUGAGAAACAAAACGGGAACUGAAGCAAUUGAAGGCAUCAUUCUCGACGGAAAUAUGCGUAAGGGGCAAGAAUCAACCAGGAUAACAUCUAAUGAAAAUUAUGGCAAAAAAAGUAAAGUAAAAGAAUUUAUGAAUAAUUCUCAGGAAGAUCGACCAAAGCGGAAUUGGAUGUCCAUUUUCUCUCGUCAUAUCAUGGGCACAAGGGAAGUUCCAAAUGAGGAUUUGGAAACUGACUCAUUCACAAACAUGCACAAGUUGAAAUUUCUGUUGCUUAGCAAUAUACAACUUUCUGGAUGUUACAGCAAAUUUCCCAAGAAAUUAAGAUGGUUGUUUUGGCGUUAUCUCCAGUUAGAAUCCCUACCAAGCGACUUUCCGAUGGGAAAACUUGUUGCUAUAGACCUUUGUUACAGCAGCUUGAAACAACUUUGGACAGCACCAAAGUUACUCAGAUGGUUAAAAUUUCUCAAUCUCAGCCACUCUUAUCAGCUUAGAAGAACUCCUGAUUUUUCAUUACUUCCCAACCUUGAACAAUUAAUCCUCGAAUAUUGUACAAGUCUAACUGAGGUGGAUGACACUAUUGCAUAUCUGGAAGGACUCACUGUUUUAAGCCUUAAUGGUUGUAUAAACUUGAGGAGCAUUUCAGAAAGUGUUUGCAUGUUAACACAUCUUGAGACCCUUGAUAUUUCUGGUUGCUCGAAUCUUGAAUAUGUCGCCCUGAAGCUUGAAAAGUCGGAUUUUCCAAGUGAGCUUUCAGAUGAAAGUGGAAGAAACCAAAUAGAUAGUACCAAGCUAGUAAGACCAUGGCAUACAAUCUUGUGGUCUUUGCUGAGGAAGGAGAAAGUAUGUCAUAGAGUUUCACCAAUCAGUUUUCCGACUUCUCUAGUUACUCUAAGACUUUCUGACUGCAAUCUGGGUGAUAAUGCAUUUCUCCAUGUUGAUUUUAGUAAGCUCAAUUUGCUGAAAGAAUUGAGUUUGAGCCGAAAUCCACUUUGCCAUCCCCCAGAGAGCAUUAGAUAUCUUAGCAGGCUCGAAAAUCUUUCACUAAAUUCGUGUACAAGGCUAAAAUCAGUACUCGAGCUGCCAAAUGGUGUUGAGAUUGUUGAUACAACUGACUGUAUAUCCUUGGAGAAAGUAUCAGGUGCACCUAGCUCAUGCAGCAUUCUGUACAUAAAUUGUGCCAAUCUGGUUGAGAUGAGCUCUAAUUUCAAGUUAGAACAUCUUGAAAAUGUCAAUGCAGAAAUUCUUGGCUAUUUGGGUUUGUCAAACUUGGAGUUGAUUAGAAAUGUUACUUUUAGAUUAAGAUUUGACAUUCAGAAAUUGCAUACUGACGAAAUGGAAUUUCCAGAGUUUGUCCAAAAUGACAUGGCAAAAUUACAAUCUCUCCCACCUAAGAAGCUUCCCGCUCAGGGAUAUUACUGCAAUGGCGUCUUCUCCACAUUCCUAUCGGGUGAACACGUGCCAAGUUGCUUUGAUACGAAGUUGAGUGAGCCUUUCUGUUCAUCGUUCAUCGUUCCUACUCCUGAUAAUCAUAGAAUUCGAGGCUUGAGUUUUUGCUUGGUGUAUACAUGCUUGGAGAGUGAAGAAAUGGUAAGUGAGGGCCAUUGCCUGUCCAUUACAAUUAAUAAUUUGUCGCAAAAGAUCAAGUGGAAGCAAGACCCUAUAUUUCUAGCUAUUCCUGAAGUUGAAGAACGGAUGAUGUGGCUAAGUUAUUGGGAAAUUGGCAACUCGUUGCAAACAGGCGAUGUUGUAGAGAUUUCAGCCAGUGUUGGAGAUAAACAACGUUUCAGUAUCAACGAGGUUGGAAUGAGGAUUAUAUUCCUGGAAGAACAACAAGACCAGGACAAAGAAUCUAAUUGUGAAGUUGAAGAGUUUUUUUCUAGUCCAUGUCAUCAGAGUUUGCUCCUUGUCAGAGUCUUCCCAAUGUGAUAAAAGGAAGAAAAAAAACAAGAACGAAGACUAGGGGAAUCCUACAUUACUAAUGCAGCUGUCAGAGUGGGGAAAUGUUGGCGUGAAUCUUCAGAAGAUAUGAACCUUCCAGUGGUUUGCCUAAAUAGGGUAGCAAACUAUAAAUUUGUUAAUAGAACAGUGGACAGAUUCUUGGGUAAGGAAAGGUAAAGGUUGUUGGUUUGAUCAGAUAUAGAUGCCUAACUUCAGAAUUAGGCAAGACAAAGUAAGCAACUUCAGAUCCUGAUAUGGAAAUUCCAAAAUAUUAUAGUGUACCACAUUCAGUAAAGUAGAGGACAGAUUCAUCCUUACUUUCAGGGGGUUCCCCCUUUGGAUACACAUUAUUUUAUUAUGCUGAAGUGACAGAUUGAGCUAGUUCAUAGAAUAUACUCCGUAUAAAUUAAUUACAGUUAGUGAUAAAAGUGUAUGAAAGAGUGCAAUGUAUUUAUUAUUUUGAUGUAAAUCUUGGGUGUGAAAAAGACGUUUUCUCUUUA